rnacentral:rRNA from 1 species
GAUGAACGCUGGCGGCGUGCCUAAUACAUGCAAGUCGAGCGAACAGAUGAGGAGCUUGCUCCUCUGACGUUAGCGGCGGACGGGUGAGUAACACGUGGAUAACCUCCCUAUAAGACUGGGAUAACUUCGGGAAACCGGAGCUAAUACCGGAUAAUAUAUUGAACCGCAUGGUUCAAUAGUGAAUGACGGCUUUGCUGUCACUUAUAGAUGGAUCCGCGCCGCAUUAGCUAGUUGGUAAGGUAACGGCUUACCAAGGCAACGAUGCGUAGCCGACCUGCGAGGGUGAUCGGCCACACUGGAACUGAGACACGGUCCAGACUCCUACGGGAGGCAGCAGUAGGGAAUCUUCCGCAAUGGGCGAAAGCCUGACAGAACAACGCCGCGUGAGUGAUGAAGGUCUUCGGAUCGUAAAACUCUGUUAUUAGGGAAGAACAAAUGUGUAAGUAACUAUGCACGUCUUGACGGUACCUAAUCAGAAAGCCACGGCUAACUACGUG